rnacentral:rRNA from 1 species
UGGGGGAUAUUGCGCAAUGGGCGAAAGCCUGACGCAGCGACGCCGCGUGGGUGAUGAAGGCCUUCGGGUCGUAAAGCCCUGUCGAGGGGGAAGAACCGGUCGAGACCCAACACGUCUCGGCCCUGACGGUGCCCCUAAAGGAAGCACCGGCUAACUCCGUGCCAGCAGCCGCGGUAAUACGGAGGGUGCAAGCGUUGUUCGGAAUCACUGGGCGUAAAGCGCGUGCAGGCGGCUCGUUAAGUCUGGUGUGAAAGCCCAGGGCUCACCCCUGGAAGGGCACUGGAUACUGGCGAGCUCGAGUCCCGGAGAGGAGGGUGGAAUUCCUGGUGUAGCGGUGAAAUGCGUAGAUAUCAGGAGGAACACCGGCGGCGAAGGCGGCCCUCUGGACGGUGACUGACGCUGAGACGCGAAAGCGUGGGGAGCAA